rnacentral:rRNA from 1 species
UACGUAGGUGACAAGCGUUGUCCGGAUUUACUUGGGCGUAAAGAGCGCGCAGGCGGUCGAUCAGUCGAGUGUGAAAGCCCCGGCUCAACUGGGAGGGUCAUUCGAUACUGAUCGACUCGGAAGGCAGGAGAGGGUUAGUGGAAUUCCCGGGUGUAGUGGUGAAAUGCGUAGGAUAAUCGGGAGGAACACCAGUGGCGAAGGC